UGAAGCAAUACUCUGCUUCAGAGGAGGCUCUCCUGAGACUACUCCCAGUGGUCAAAGCCUCAAACAAAGCUCUGUAAGUGGACACAUUGAUUGUUAUUUUUAAAUACUUAAUAGCAAACCAAAAGUUUUGUCUCCUCACAAUUUGUCCUCAGGCUGUGUAGCUGUAACCUGUCAGAGAGAAGCUGUGAAGCUCUGUCCUCAGUUCUCAGUUCCCAGUCCUCAAGCCUCAAAGAGCUGGACCUGAGUAACAACAACCUGCAGGAUUCAGGAGUGAAGCGGCUGUCUGUUGGACUGGAGAGUCCACACUGUAAACUGCAAACUCUUAGGUCAGAUUUGUUGCCCAAGCUGCUUUUGUUAUACUAAUGAAAAGGGUAAACAAAAAUGGUACACUUUUGCUUAUUGCACUUUUUUAACUCCAGGCUAUCAGGUUGUCUGAUCACAGAGAAAGGCUGUGCUUCUCUGGCCUCAGCUCUUAAUUCCAACCCCUCCCACCUGAGAGAGCUGGAUCUGAGCUACAAUCAUCCAGGAGACUCAGGAGUGAAGCCGCUAUCUGAUGGACUGGAGAAUUCACUCUGGAGACUGGAAACACUGAGGUAUAAACAAAAAAAAAAGAGCUCAAACAACACAGGUGCAAGAAAAAAACAAAUCAAACUAAGCAAGAGGUUUUAGUUAAAUUCUUGUAGAAGAAUUUCACUGCUGCAUGUUAGCCUCCAUCGUCAGGCUCAGAUUUUUAUUUGAACAUAAUCAGUAUAACACUUUUUUCCAUGUUAGAGAAUGACUUAAAGGGAUAUUACGGCGUAAAUUUAAGUUAUGGUUAAACACACCCUAACACCGAGUUAGACACCCCUUCAAGAGAUGAAUGUUGCAGACUGCUUGCUUCUUUCGUUAUACCAACUUCAGCAAAGACUGCAUAACAAUAAACAGCGGUCUGUCUCCACAUGCAAACCUCAACCAAAGCGCCACUCUAUAGCCACAAAUAAUGCUCAGAACAGCACCUAACUUCAUCAAAAAGUACAUAUAGGGUCCUAGCCACAGCACUAGCCACCAAACAUCUUUUUAACUUUGCCUAAUUUCUUUAGCAAAAAGACCAAAACACAACUCAACCACUCUCUUCCAGCAGCUCCUUGUUUGUGGGGAAGCCCUAACAAGUCAAUCACCGAGUAGACCCAUAUCAUCAAACUUACAUAGUCUGUUGAAUUAAAAUGUCGAUUCAAAAGAGGCUAAUGGUUAGCCACUUCAAGGAUAAUUUCUUUUUUUUAUGCCGUUAAUAUUAAUAUUAUUUUAUUCAUUCUGAAAAGCCCAUUGAAAUGUUUUUUUUAAGACUUGUGCCUCAGAAAUAAACUUGCCAAAUAAGUAUAAAAAUGGUGUUUGAGAGGAGGAACAAGUUUUUUUUAUUUUCAUUAAGAAGCGAAACAUUAUUGAACACCAUCAGGCUCCAGUUCGGCCUCAAAAUUAUUCUGACUGUGUUUCUUCCUCCAGGUUGGACAACAGUGGAAGAAGGUGGUUAAAACCUGGUCUGAAGAAAUGUAAGUGGUAAUCAGUUUGACUCAUGAAGACCAAACAGCAGACUGUCAGCUAACAAAGAAUUCAGAUGUGUCCGAUGAUAACCUGCUGCUGUGUUGUGUCUUUUUCUCCACACCAGAUUUCUGUGAACUCACACUGGACUCAAACACUGCACACAGACACCUGCAGCUGUCUCAAAACAAAAGGAAGGUGACAUGUGUAAAAGGGGACCAGUUAUAUCGGGAUCAUCCUGACAGGUUUGAAUACUGUCCUCAGCUGCUGUGUAAAGAGAGUCUGACUGGACGAUGUUA